rnacentral:rRNA from 1 species
UACGUAGGGUGCAAGCGUUAAUCGGAUUCACUGGGCGUAAAGGGUGCGUAGGCGGCCGGGUAAGUCUGAUGUGAAAUCCCGCAGCUUAACUGCGGAACUGCAUCGGAUACUCUCCGGCUAGAGGAAUGGAGGGGAGACUGGAAUUCUCGGUGUAGCAGUGAAAUGCGUAGAUAUCGAGAGGAACACCAGUGGCGAAGGCGAGUCUCUGGACAUUUCCUAACGCUGAGGCACGAAAGCCAGGGGAGCAAACGGG